GGGGAAUUAGCUCAACUGGGAGAGCAACGGACUUUUAAUCCGUAGGUUCAGGGUUCGAGUCCCUGUGGACCCACCA
rnacentral:tRNA from 1 species